rnacentral:rRNA from 1 species
AGAGCGAACGCUGGCGGCAGGCCUAACACAUGCAAGUCGAACGGACCCUUCGGGGUUAGUGGCGGACGGGUGAGUAACACGUGGGAACGUGCCUUUAGGUUCGGAAUAGCUCCUGGAAACGGGUGGUAAUACCGAAUGUGCCCUUCGGGGGAAAGAUUUAUCGCCUUUAGAGCGGCCCGCGUCUGAUUAGCUUGUUGGUGAGGUAAUGGCUCACCAAGGCUACGAUCAGUAGCUGGUCUGAGAGGAUGACCAGCCACAUUGGGACUGAGACACGGCCCAAACUCCUACGGGAGGCAGCAGUGGGGAAUCUUGCGCAAGUGGGCGAAAGCCUGACGCAGCCAUGCCGCGUGUAUGAUGAAGGUCUUAAGGAUUAGUAAAAUACGUUUACACCGGUGAAGAUAAUGACUGUAGCCGAGAAGAACGCCCGCUAACUCGCGCAGCAGCCGAC